UGUUCUGUUUUAACUGAUUUGCUUAUGUGGUCUCGCAACAACGUUUGGACUAUCGCAACGUAAAAUAUCGUAUGCAGCAUAUGAUACAACGUUCCAUAGUGUGUGUUUUUUGAAAUAUGUAUGCGCACGAGCUUACAAGAUUUUUAUCGAAAACUGGUAGCCGGUUCUUAAUUUGCAGUGGAUGUGCAAAAGUAGACGACACAGUUGUCGGUGUUGGUGAUUCUGAUUAUAAGUUUGAGUCUUUCUGCUCUGUGUACGGUUGGAUCUCCCAUUGCCGAACCGUUUCGAGCUCGCAGAAAUAUUUCUUUACUAUCGGUUUGGAUAACAACAACGUCAAUGAUGUCGGAGAUUUGGUUGCCGGAGCAAAUACUAUUUCCCGGGCAAAAAGCAGCAGCAGUUAAGGCGAAAAGAAGCGUAGAUGUAACAGCAAUAUCAUCAUUAGUCAUCAUCAAAGAAGUGGCGAAUGCGUCUAAGGCGUGAAGUACUACGUGUCCGCUUGACACUUUGACGCCCAGGAGCUUAAAUCCCCAUAUCUACAUAUGUACAUCCAUAUGCUUUUAGAUGCAGUACACUUUUCCAGCAGUAAAAGUAUGCCGUCAAAAAUUUUAACAGAAGAGUUCAGGUCAUUUUCUAUGCCGUGAUUGUUGCAUAUGUACAUUACGAUGGAUGUCUCGUUGACGGAAUCCCGAGGGCAUAACAUAAUUAAUUGUAUAACAGAUGCGCUGAGGAGACAUACGAACUGUGCCAACAAAUACUUCAUUAAUUGUUAAAUUUGUAUUUAAAACCAAAUUGGUUUAAAUAAAAAGAUUAGCAUGCAUGAAAAUUUAAA